rnacentral:rRNA from 1 species
GAAAGAGGAGAAGGGCGAACGGGGGAUGCCUAGGCUAUCCGGAGGCGAGGAAGGACGCGGUAAGCUGCGAAAAUUCACGGGGAUUCGCAAACAGGAAGUGAUCCGUGAGUGUCCGAAUGGGGCAACCCGGCAGGCUGAAGGCCUGUCACCAUCAUAUGAUGGGGCGAACGGGGGGAACUGAAACAUCUCAGUACCCCCAGGAGAAGAAAGAAAGAUCGAUGACCUGAGUAGAGGCGAUCGAAAGGGUCGGAGCCUAAACCGUGCAGCUCAAGGGCUGUGCGGGGUCGUAGGAGCUCCCAAGGGAUGACGUCAAGGAACUGGAAGCGCAUGGAAAGGCGCCGCGCAGAGUGUGACACGCACGUACAGGCAACGAGGACGUUACAGGGGAGCCACCUGAGUAGGGCGGGGCACGAGGAAUCCUGUCCGAAUCCGCGGGGACCAUCCCGCAAGGCUAAAUACAUCCGGAAGACCGAUAGUGAACCAGUACCGUGAGGGAAAGGUGGGAAGGACCCCGAGCAGGGGAGUGAAAGAGAACCUGAAACCGUUCGUCUACAAGCGGUCGGAGCUCGCGAGAGCGACGGCGUGCCUUUUGCAUAAUGAGCCUACGAGUUGCUUCACGCCGGCGAGGCUAAGCCAUUGAGUGGCGGAGCCGGAGCGAGAGCGAGUCUGAACAGGGCGUUCAGUCGGCGUGAGCAGACGCGAAACCUAGUGAUCUACCCUUGUCCAGGGUGAAGUCGCCGUAACAGGCGAUGGAGGCCCGAACCAGUUUCCGUUGAAAAGGGCUUGGAUGAGAUGAGGGUAGGAGUGAAAGGCCAAUCAAACUGGGAGAUAGCUCGUACUCCCCGAAAUGUCUUUAUGCGCAUACAUUAGACGUCGGGAGUGAGUCGGCGGGUGCUAAUAUCCGUCGGCGAGAGGGUAAGAGCCCAGACCUCCGGCCAAGGCCCCAAAGCGCAGUUUAAGUUGAGAGAGAACAAGGUGACACCGCAGAGACAGCUAGGAUGUUAGCUUGGAAGCAGCUAUUCAUUCAAAGAGUGCGUAACAGCUCACUAGUCGAGCGGUGACGCGUGGAUGAUGACCGGGCAUCAAGACUGCCGCCGAAGCCGAGGGCGCGAAGCGAUUCGCGCGGUAGGGGAGCAUUGUGUACAGCGGAGAAGGCCGACCGGCGAGGUCGACUGGAGCGUACAGAAAAGAAAAUGUAGGCAUGAGUAACGAUAAGGGGAAGAGAAAUUCCCCCGCCGACAACCCAAGGGUUCCUGAACAACGUUAAACGGAUCAGGGUAAGCCGGGAGCUAAGCCGAAGCCGAGAGGCGCAGGUGAUGCACAAGCGGUAAAGAUUCCGCUGCCCGCGUUACAGUCGGAGAUGGGACCUGGGAGUGGUCCGGCCGCCGUCUGACGGAAUAGACGGUUGAAGCGGGGUAGGCGCAAGCCGAGCCGCGACAGUACGGCGAGUCUUCGGACGAGCCGACAGCGCCGGAGAAUCAGGCCAGCGAGAAAACCAUCGACGAGUCAAGAGUAAUGCGGCCCGUACCGUAAACCGACACAGGUGGGUGAGGAGAGAAUCCUAAGGCGCUCGAGUGAAUCACAGCUAAGGAACUAGGCAAAUUGACCCCGUAACUUCGGGAGAAGGGGACCCACAGCGAUGUGGGCGCAGAGAAAUGGCCCAGGCGACUGUUUACCAAAAACACAUGGCUAUGCGAAAUCGUUAAGAUGACGAAUAUGGCCUGACACCUGCCCGGUGCCGGAAGGUUAAGAGGGGGAGUCACCGCAAGGGAAGCUCUGAAUCGAAGCCCCGGUAAACGGCGGCCGUAACUAUAACGGUCCUAAGGUAGCGAAAUUCCUUGUCGGGUAAGUUCCGACCUGCACGAACGGUGUAACGAUCUGGGCACUGUCUCAGCUGUGAGCUCGGUGAAAUUGUAGUGGCGGUGAAGAUGCCGCCUACCCGCAACGGGACGAAAAGACCCCGUGAACCUUUACUAUAGCUUAGCGCUGGACUUUGCCGGAUGAUGUGUAGGAUAGGUGGGAGACUGCGAGGCGCGUACGCCAGUACGCGCGGAGUCGCCGUUGAAAUACCACCCUUCGUCCGGCGGGGUCCUAACCUUCAGGGAAGGGACACCGCUUGGUGGGUAGUUUGACUGGGGUGGUCGCCUCCAAAAGAGUAACGGAGGCUUCCCAAGGUCCGCUCAGUCCGAAUGGCAACCGGACGUAGAGUGCAGUGGCAUAAGCGGGCUUGACUGGGAGACAAACAAGUCGAGCAGGUACGAAAGUAGGGCAAAGUGAUCCGGCGGUUCCUCAUGGGAGGGCCGUCGCUCAAAGGAUAAAAGGUACUCCGGGGAUAACAGGCUGAUCGCUCCCAAGAGCUCAAAUCGACGGAGCGGUUUGGCACCUCGAUGGGUUUACCGGUUGUAGCGCCAGCUGCACCGCCGGGUAUCCACGUUGGGUCAGGAUAAGCGCUGAAAGCAUCUAAGCGCGAAGCCGUCUCCAAGAUGAGACUUCCAUUGAGGGUCGUGGGAGACUACCACGUCGAUAGGCAGGAAGUGUAAGGCCGGUGACGACCUGAGCUGACCUGUACUAAUGGCCCGAGAUCUUUCUUUC